UUAUAUGAGAGUUUGAUCCUGGCUCAGGAUGAACGCCGGCGGUGUGCCUAAUACAUGCAAGUCGUACGCACUGGCCCAACUGAUUGAUGGUGCUUGCACCUGAUUGACGAUGGAUCACCAGUGAGUGGCGGACGGGUGAGUAACACGUAGGUAACCUGCCCCGGAGCGGGGGAUAACAUUUGGAAACAGAUGCUAAUACCGCAUAACAACAAAAGCCACAUGGCUUUUGUUUGAAAGAUGGCUUUGGCUAUCACUCUGGGAUGGACCUGCGGUGCAUUAGCUAGUUGGUAAGGUAACGGCUUACCAAGGCGAUGAUGCAUAGCCGAGUUGAGAGACUGAUCGGCCACAAUGGAACUGAGACACGGUCCAUACUCCUACGGGAGGCAGCAGUAGGGAAUCUUCCACAAUGGGCGCAAGCCUGAUGGAGCAACACCGCGUGAGUGAAGAAGGGUUUCGGCUCGUAAAGCUCUGUUGUUGGAGAAGAACGUGCGUGAGAGUAACUGUUCACGCAGUGACGGUAUCCAACCAGAAAGUCACGGCUAACUACGUGCCAGCAGCCGCGGUAAUACGUAGGUGGCAAGCGUUAUCCGGAUUUAUUGGGCGUAAAGCGAGCGCAGGCGGUUGCUUAGGUCUGAUGUGAAAGCCUUCGGCUUAACCGAAGAAGUGCAUCGGAAACCGGGCGACUUGAGUGCAGAAGAGGACAGUGGAACUCCAUGUGUAGCGGUGGAAUGCGUAGAUAUAUGGAAGAACACCAGUGGCGAAGGCGGCU
rnacentral:rRNA from 1 species